GAUAAACGCUGGCGGCGUGCUUAACACAUGCAAGUCGAACGAAGUUUUUCCUUCGGGAGAAACUUAGUGGCGGACGGGUGAGUAACGCGUGGGUAACCUGCCCUGUACAGGGGGACAACAGCUGUAAACGGCUGCUAAUACCGCAUAAGCCCUUAGCACUGCAUGGUGCAUAGGGAAAAGGAGCAAUCCGGUACAGGAUGGACCCGCGUCUGAUUAGCCAGUUGGCAGGGUAACGGCCUACCAAAGCGACGACCAGUAGCCGAUCUGAGGGGAUGUACGGCACAAUUGGAACGAGGCCCGGCCCCGACUCCUACGGGAGGGAGGCGGGGGGAAUAAUGGAAAAUGGGCGAAAGCCUGGACGAGCCAGGCCGCGGGGGGGAAGAAAGUAUUAGGGUAUGAAAACCCCUUUCAGCGGGAAAAAAAAGACAGGACCCGGAGAAAGAGGCCCGGCUAAAUCCGUG
rnacentral:rRNA from 1 species